GAUGAACGCUGGCGGCGUGCCUAACACAUGCAGGUCGAGCGGCAGCGAGGGGUGCUUGCACCCUGCCGGCGAGCGGCGGACGGCUGAGUAACGCGUGGGAACGUGCCCCAAAGUGAGGAAUAACUGCCCGAAAGGGUAGCUAAUACCGCAUAUUAUCUUCGGAUCAAAGGAUUUAUCCGCUUUGGGAGCGGCUCGCGUCGGAUUAGGUAGUUGGUGAGGUAAUGGCUCACCAAGCCGACGAUCCGUAGCUGGUCUGAGAGGAUGACCAGCCAGACUGGAACUGAGACACGGUCCAGACUCCUACGGGAGGCAGCAGUGAGGAAUCUUCCACAAUGGGCGAAAGCCUGAUGGAGCAACGCCGCGUGCAGGACGAAGGCCUUCGGGUUGUAAACUGCUUUUAUAAGUGAGGAAUAUGACGGUAACUUAUGAAUAAGGAUCGGCUAACUACGUG
rnacentral:rRNA from 1 species